rnacentral:rRNA from 1 species
UGAUACUACGGGGCGCAGCAGUAGGGAAUCUUCCACAAUGGACGAAAGUCUGAUGGAGCAACGCCGCGUGAGUGAAGAAGGGUUUCGGCUCGUAAAGCUCUGGUGGUAGUGAAGAAAGAUAGAGGUAGUAACUGGCCUUUAUUUGACGGUAAUUACUUAGGAAGUCACGGCUAACUACGUGCCAGCAGCCGCGGUAAUUCGUAGGUGGCAAGCGUUGUCCGGAUUUAUUGGGCGUAAAGCGAG